rnacentral:piRNA from 1 species
UCGUAAUCUGUUUUAGACAAA